UACAGAGGGUGCAAGCGUUGUUCGGAAUUAUUGGGCGUAAAGGGCGCGUAGGCGGUUCGGCAAGUCUCUAGUGAAAUCUCAGGGCUCAACUCUGAGUCUGCUGGGGAAACUGCCGGGCUUGAGUGUGGGAGAGGAGAGUGGAAUUCCCGGUGUAGCGGUGAAAUGCGUAGAUAUCUGGAGGAACACCGGUGGCGAAGGCGGCAUCCUGGACCGACACUGACGCUGAGGAGCGAAAGCCAGGGGAGCAAACGGG
rnacentral:rRNA from 1 species